rnacentral:rRNA from 1 species
AGUUUGAUCCUGGCUCAGGAUGAACGUUGGCGGCAUGCCUAAUACAUGCAAGUCGAACGAGAGACCUUCGGGUCUCUAGUGGCGAACGGGUGAGUAACACGUAGGGAACCUGCCCGCGCACCGGGAAUACGCUCUGGAAACGGAGAACAAAUCCCGAUGUACAGGAAGGAGGCAUCUUCUUUCUGUGAAACAUCCUCUAGGGGAUGGGGCGCGGAUGGACCUGCGGUGCAUUAGUUGGUUGGCGGGGUAAAGGCCCACCAAGACGAUGAUGCAUAGCCGGCCUGAGAGGGCGGACGGCCACAUUGGGACUGAGACACGGCCCAGACUCCUGCGGGAGGCAGCAGUAGGGAAUUUUCGUCAAUGGGCGCAAGCCUGAACGAGCGAUGCCGCGUGAGUGAAGAAGGCCUUCGGGUCGUAAAGCUCUGUUGCGGGGGAAAAAAGGCAGCAUCAGGAAAUGGGUGCUGACUGAUGGUGCCCCGCCAGAAAGUCACGGCUAACUACGUGCCAGCAGCCGCGGUAAUACGUAGGUGGCGAGCGUUAUCCGGAAUGAUUGGGCGUAAAGGGUGCGCAGGCGGUCCUGCAAGUCUGGAGUGAAACGCAUGAGCUCAACUCAUGCAUGGCUUUGGAAACUGGAGGACUGGAGAGCAGGAGAGGGCGGUGGAACUCCAUGUGUAGCGGUAAAAUGCGUAGAUAUAUGGAAGAACACCAGUGGCGAAGGCGGCCGCCUGGCCUGUUGCUGACGCUGAGGCACGAAAGCGUGGGGAGCAAAUAGGAUUAGAUACCCUAGUAGUCCACGCCGUAAACGAUGAGGACCAAGUGUUGGGGGUGAAACCUCAGUGCUGAAGUUAACGCAGUGAGUCCUCCGCCUGGGGAGUAUGCACGCAAGUGUGAAACUCAAAGGAAUUGACGGGGGCCCGCACAAGCGGUGGAGUAUGUGGUUUAAUUCGAAGCAACGCGAAGAACCUUACCAGGCCUUGACAUCCCCCUGGACGGCCCGUAACGGGGCCGGCCCUUUCAGGGCAGGGGAGACAGGUGGUGCAUGGUUGUCGUCAGCUCGUGUCGUGAGAUGUUGGGUUAAGUCCCGCAACGAGCGCAACCCCUGCCCGCAGUAGCCAGCACGUUGAGGUGGGCACUCUGCGGGGACUGCCGGGGACAACCCGAAGGAAGGCGGGGACGACGUCAAAUUAUCAUGCUCCUUAUGGCCUGGGCGACACACGUGCUACAAUGGCGCCGACAGAGGGAUGCGAAGCGGCGACGCGGAGCGAACCCCAAAAACGGCGCCCCAGUUCGGAUUGUAGUCUGCAACCCGACUACAUGAAGCCGGAAUCGCUAGUAAUCGCGGAUCAGAACGCCGCGGUGAAUACGUUCCCGGGUCUUGCACACACCGCCCGUCA